CUGCCCCUCCACCCAGCUACCUCCAGCCACCCCUGUGCUCUAGCAUCUCUCUCUCUCAAGAGAGAGCUUGGCACAGCCUCAGGGCACCAGGCCUUCUGCUUCCUGAUUCCAGUCAUGGUGAAUUCCUUUCCUGCUUCCGGAAGGACUUGUUCAGGGAGGACCUCUCGGCUAAGGCUGUGAGCUCCAGAGCGGGAUUGAACUCUGAGAAAAUGCACGAUCGAGAUGCUGACUUUGCGUGGAAGCCCAUACAUAAGAAUGUUGAAACUUCCUCAGUGCACGAAGAGAUGCUCUUCUAUGUAUAUCUGGUUUUGUGAAACAUAAAAUUUUUUGAGAUCUCAGCAUUUGAGGCCACUGCACAUGCAGAAUGGAGGCCCACCCUGGGUUUUGAUCAAUUGCUUCAUAACACUUAGGUUGUC
rnacentral:lncRNA from 1 species